UACGAAGGGAGCUAGCGUUGUUCGGAAUCACUGGGCGUAAAGCGCACGUAGACGGAUGUGUCAGUCAGGGGUGAAAUCCUGGAGCUCAACUCCAGAACUGCCUUUGAUACUGGCGACCUUGAGUCCGGGAGAGGUGAGUGGAACUGCGAGUGUAGAGGUGAAAUUCGUAGAUAUUCGCAAGAACACCAGUGGCGAAGGCGGCUCACUGGCCCGGUACUGACGCUGAGGUGCGAAAGCGUGGGGAGCAAACAGG
rnacentral:rRNA from 1 species